rnacentral:rRNA from 1 species
AACGAACGCUGGCGGCAGGCUUAACACAUGCAAGUCGAGCGCCCCGCAAGGGGAGCGGCAGACGGGUGAGUAACGCGUGGGAAUCUACCCUUUUCUACGGAAUAACGCAGGGAAACUUGUGCUAAUACCGUAUAAGCCCUUCGGGGGAAAGAUUUAUCGGGAAAGGAUGAGCCCGCGUUGGAUUAGCUAGUUGGUGGGGUAAAGGCCUACCAAGGCGACGAUCCAUAGCUGGUCUGAGAGGAUGAUCAGCCACAUUGAGACUGAGACACGGCCCAAACUCCUACGGGAGGCAGCAGUGGGGAAUAUUGGACAAUGGGCGCAAGCCUGAUCCAGCCAUGCCGCGUGAGUGAUGAAGGCCCUAGGGUUGUAAAGCUCUUUCACCGGUGAAGAUAAUGACGGUAACCGGAGAAGAAGCCCCGGCUAACUUCGUGCCAGCAGCCGCGGUAACAC